GAACGCUGGCGGCGUGCUAAUACAUGCAGUCGAGCGAUGAGCUCCUUCGGGAGUACAUCAGCGGCGAACGGGUGAGUAACACGUGGGUGACUUGCCCCGAAGAUGGGGAUAACCUCUGGAAGCGGGGGCUAAUACCCAAUGUGCUCGGUGAUUCGGUUCAUCGAGUAAAGCUCCGGCGCUUCGGGAGAGGCCUGCGGCCCAUCAGCUAGUUGGUAGGGUAACGGCCUACCAAGGCAGAGACGGGUAGGGGGCGUGAGAGCGCGGACCCCCACACUGGCACUGAGAUACGGGCCAGACUCCUACGGGAGGCAGCAGUAAGGGAUAUUGCGCAAUGGACGAAAGUCAGACGCAGCGACGCCGCGUGGGCGAUGAAGGCCUUCGGGUUGUAAAGCCCUUUUAUGGGGGAAGAGAAAAAGGACGGUACCCCAGGAAUAAGUCCCGGCUAACUACGUGCCAGCAGCCGCGGUAAAACGUAGGGGACAAGCGUUAUCCGGAUUCACUGGGCGUAAAGAGCGUUGAGGCGGUUCCGUAAGUUGGGCGUGAAAGCUCCGGGCUUAACUCGGAGAUGUCGUUCAAUACUGCGGGGCUUGAGGACAGCAGAGGAGGGUGGAAUUCCCGGUGUAGUGGUGAAAUGCGUAGAUAUCGGGAGGAACACCCGUGGCGAAGGCGGCCUUCUGGGCUGUUCCUGACGCUGAAGGCGAAAGCUAGGGGAGCGAACGGGAUUAGAUACCCCGGUAGUCCUAGCUGUAAACGAUGGAUGCUGGGUGUGGGGGGUGUAAAUUCCCUCUGUGCCGAAGCAAACGCGUUAAGCAUCCCGCCUGGGGACUACGGCCGCAAGGCUAAAACUCAAACGAAUUGACGGGGGCCCGCACAAGCAGCGGAGCGUGUGGUUUAAUUCGAUGCUACACGAAGAACCUUACAUGGGUUUGACAUGCACGUGGUAGGGAAUCGAAAGGGGACCGACAUUCGGGAGCGUGCACAGGUGCUGCAUGGCUGUCGUCAGCUCGUGCCGUGAGGUGUCGGGUUAAGUCCCGUAACGAGCGCAACCAUUGCCCUUAGUUACAAGUGUCUAAGGGGACUGCCCGGGACAACUGGGAGGAAGGUGGGGAUGACGUCAAGUCAGCAU
rnacentral:rRNA from 1 species